GCUUCCAUAGCUCAGUUGGUUAGAGCACUCCA
rnacentral:snRNA from 1 species